rnacentral:lncRNA from 1 species
GGCAGGUGGAGUUCGAACCCUUACUCAAUGGGGGCAAUGUAGAGGUUUUAACCAUUUGAGCUGUUGGGUCAUACAUAACUUCUAUGCAUUUUAAUUUAUUUUGUAAAUUUUAGUGGGGGCAGCUGCCCCCUUCUUGGACACUGUAGAUUCGCCGCUGAGUCUACUACUUCCCCGUACCAAAUGUUACACAUCAGACGACAAAUUAAACUGAUGCUGAUACAACUUUUCUUUUUCUAUUCUUACGUGACCAAAGUUUUGAGGGUAAUUAAAUAGGGUUUCCUUGGUUUAUAAAGACUUACUUUUUGAUUAAACUAGAGUUUUGAAUCCUUGAUUUACACACCUGCUUUCUCAUGUCUUCAAACUUCGGUUCAUACUUUAUAGUAAAAUUGCUGACAUGAAAUAAAACUGA